rnacentral:rRNA from 1 species
AUUGAACGCUGGCGGCAGGCCUAACACAUGCAAGUCGAGCGAGCGGCGGACGGGUGAGUAAUGUCUGGGAAACUGCCUGAUGGAGGGGGAUAACUACUGGAAACGGUAGCUAAUACCGCAUACCAUCAGAUGUGCCCAGUGGGGAUUAGCUAGUAGGUGGGGUAAUGGCUCACCUAGGCGACGAUCCCUAGCUGGUCUGAGAGGAUGACCAGCCAAACUGGAACUGAAACACGGCCCAGACUCCUACGGGAGGAAGCAGUGGGGAAUAUUGCACAAGGGGCGCAAGCCUGAUGCGGCCAGGCCGCGUGUAUGAAGAAGGCCUUGGGGUUGUAAAGUACUUUCAGUCGGGAGGCGUUACCGACAGAAGAAGCACCGGCUAACUCCGUGCCAGCAGCCGCGGUAAUAC